GGUCAAUGAUGUGUUGCAAUGUAUUACCUGAAUUUACGGCUGACAUAUGAUAACACUAGCUCUAGGAUUACACUGAAACCUU